rnacentral:lncRNA from 9 species
GACAUCUGAAUACAUGUAUCUCUGACAGAUCAACUGGGUGUUUUGGUUUGCAUGCAUCAAGACAAGACAAACCUGGUUCAGUGACAGGGAGACAGCUUGCUAUUGGAAGAAGAGAUAUGGUUGGAUUGUAUUGGUUGAGAACGUUUCCAGAUGACAGCUAUGUUUCUUGUUUGAUUCUCAAAUUGAAACCAUGGGUAAAGAGUCAAAUCCAUUUCACUUGCUUUCACCAAUCAAGGUCUUUUUAAGUCUUAAUGCAUCUUUUAAGCUGCAUGGAGCCUAAAGAGUAAGACAUUUGCCUGAGCUGUCUUCAGGAACUUAAGAGUCUCAGCUGUGUCUAGUUUGGGCUGAGCUGAUGAGACUGGAUAGGACCACUAAUCCCUCAGCUGGGCCUGUGUGCAAGUCUGCUGGUGACCUGGUGAACCUGUGGAGGUCUGAAGCCUAGUUACGCCUGCGCAGAAGGACAAUUCCCGCACCAUUUUCCAAUCACCUUUCUUCACCCUCCCCACACUGUUGGUGCUUCCCAUGCCUCAGACUGCUGUCUCCUUAUUCCUGACCUCAUAAAUACCCUGAGCCUGCUGGUUUUGUAGGGGGGUUUGUGCAUGUGUACCUUCACUCAGGACACUUGCACCCCAAAUCUGGGCUUGUGCACUCUGGCUUUGGAGCCCAUGCAGGAAAAAGGCAGAGUUUUUAGCCCUCUGCUGAAUAUUUUGGAGUUUUGAAUUUAAGGACAGAGAGCUGCUUCCUGAAGGAAGGGAAAGCUCUAGCCAGACUUACAGUUCCCACCAAGACAAUUUUAGGGCUUCUUGGAAUGGCUGGCAUUGCCACUUCUGGAUCCUUCCUUUGGACUCAUAGCAAAGCCCUUUGAACGAAGCCUUUAAAGGAGGAGACUGUGACCCUCUAGGACAAAAUCUUGGAGAAUAAACAUUCAGAAAACUGGCUCCAUCAUUGCUGGACUGGACCUUAUGAGCAAUAGAUGGGCAACGGAAAGCAUGUUUGACAAAAACCAGGACCAAGAUCAUCCAAACCUAGGCUGGUUCCAGACGCAGGCACUGACUUCUCCCAGGGGCCGGGUGAACCCCAACAGAUCUUAAGUUGUUUUCCCGAAACUGUGAGCAAGACAUCAAGGUGAGUAGGCUAGCUAUUGUGGUGGCUUUGGUAAAGAUGCAAUCUAAGUA